GUAAAACAGGCAUCACUCUACGAUUAAGGAAAUAUAUCACACAAUUCCCAUUUGGAAUAUAUAUUUCUCAACUUGAAACCAACAGAACAACAUAAACAAAAUGUGGCUACUAAUGUAGAGGAGUAACUGUAAUUGUUUUCUAAAACAGAAAUGUGCUUUCCAAAGUAGCAAGGCAAACUCUAAAUUGCAAAUUUACUGUAACUAUCUUCCAUUGUAAAAUUUCAAGGUGAGGCCUGAACUAGGAUUUUGAAGGUAGAUUGUUAGUUUUCAAUGCUUUUGCCAUUUUAAUAAAUUUCUUCACAAGUUUCAUGCUUGAAGUUUAGUCUCAUAUCCAGUUUCAUAAAGGAUUUAAAAAACGCAUCAACAUCACAUAGCCCUUUAUAAUAGAUUAACAAUUCACCAAACUUUAUAGCUAUAUUCAUUUGAAAGUAUUUCAAGU
rnacentral:misc_RNA from 1 species